rnacentral:rRNA from 1 species
UACGGAGGGGGCGAGCGUUAUUCGGAAUUAUUGGGCGUAAAGGGCGCGUAGGCGGCUUGCCAAGUCAAAGGUGAAAUCCCUCGGCUCAACUGAGGAACUGCCUUUGAAACUGUCCGGCUUGAGGCCGGGAGGGGGUAGCGGAAUUCCCAGUGUAGCGGUGAAAUGCGUAGAUAUUGGGAGGAACACCAGUGGCGAAGGCAGCUCGCUGGGACGGUACUGACGCUGAGACGCGAAAGCGUGGGGAGCAAACAGG